UAUUUGUACAGUAAUAAACAAAAUCAAUAAUGUGUGACACACAGACUGUGUGUUUUUAUUGUUUACUAUUUUAUUUUUGUUAUAUACUAAAUAUCAAAGCCGUCCAUAAAAUUGCUUCGUUGUGAAAUAAAAAUCCCUUUUGUGGGGCCUGUUGCAAUUUGCAAACCCAGACACUCACGGGAACCGUGGGAAGAGCCCUGGCUUCUGUAGGCUGAUUUUUUCACUCUCCGUUAGAAAAGCCUGUUAACCCCUCAAGUACAGGCCACUCGCAUGGAGUUAAAAUGAGGGUCCGUUUGCAGGAAAUGCAUCGAAUGGAAGUACGGAGUGUUGUUCCAAUCACACUCGUGUUGGUGUUUAGAUCCUAAGCCAAGGGUCGUGGGCAGCGCGGGCUUGCUGCCUCCCGCCUCGUGGCCGUGGCCGUGGCCGUGGGGGAGGUGGCCGCGAUUGUGCGGAGGCGGGGUGAGUGAGACGCGGUGCGAGCCUGUUUAGGUCACUGGUCUCACCGCCGCACUUGACCGUGAGCCAGCUAAUCCUCUACGUUUGGCUCCUGGGGAAGAACGCGAUCCUCUGGGAGGCCGGCUUAGAAGACGCCGAGAACCCAGAUUCCCAGCGAACACACCCCUCCGGCAAAGGCGGGUCUCCCGGCGUUUCUGAUCCCGACGGCAAAUGGCAAACGCCUCGGUCCAGCUGCAGGUUCAAGAGCCACGGCCACCGAAGGCCGAGCCCCUUCUGAAAUCAGUGGCAGGUUCGAGCGUUUCCCACGCCAACGUCAGCGACUCCCAGGCCUCGCCGAAGGCCGUUGUAGCCGCGGAUGGGGUCUGUUCCGGGGACAGGACAGCGGUUGUCACCCGCCGAGCCCGUGAAUCAGGUUCCACUGUGGGCUGUGGUCCAAGGGACCCACUCGGAAUCACAGACAGACGCCCAUCACCGGAUAUUCCGAGCGUGUAGAGGUGAAUCCCGGAAGCCGGAGACCAAGGCCAGUCCUCCCUUUGGGCAGAGGCAACUCCUUUCUUGCCCAGCUAUUUCUUCCAAUCUAGGCACUACUUUUAAAUGGAGCAAAUACCCCCCAUGGCUUCAGCAGCUUAUCUGCAAUGUGCACAGAUCAGGAGCACAGCCGUCUCUGGGCAGAAAUCAGCGGAGUGCAAAAGCCACUCGCAUCAUUUCUGCUGUGUCCCAGAGUCAUACUUGCCUGGCGUCCGAGUCACGCGGAGGACAGAAGAUGGCCCAACACUUACCGCCCUCGUUUGGAAUUCCCGAGAAAAAGGACAGUCAGCUGAAGGAUCUGCCACUGAGUCUGCCGAACAGGUACCACCAACAGGGAGCUACACGGAUACUCAUUUGCUUCACCGCCUCCAGGAAGCUGGAGGAUUUUUUUCACUGCUCUUAUCACAUCUAAACAGGAAAUCUUCUCAAUCUGAUAAGGCAGAUAUGCUAGAAUGUUUCCUCACGAACGAAACUUUUAACCCAUAUGCAACACAAAUAGAGG
rnacentral:lncRNA from 9 species